rnacentral:rRNA from 1 species
AUUGAACGCUGGCGGCAGGCCUAACACAUGCAAGUCGAACGAGUGGCGGACGGGUGAGUAAUGUCUGGGAAACUGCCCGAUGGAGGGGGAUAACUACUGGAAACGGUAGCUAAUACCGCAUACCAUCGGAUGUGCCCAUAGGGGAUUAGCUAGUAGGUGGGGUAACGGCUCACCUAGGCGACGAUCCGUAGCUGGUCUUAGCGGAUGACCAGCCACAGUGGAACUGAUACACGGGCCAUCCGCCUACGGGAGGCAGCAGUGGGGAAUAUUGCACAAUGGGCGCAAGCCUGCUGCAGCCAUGCCGCGUGUAUGAAGAAGGCCUUCGGGUUGUAAAGUACUUUCAGCGAGGAGGCGUUACUCGCAGAAGAAGCACCGGCUAACUCCGUGCCAGCAGCCGCGGUAAUAC